GCUUCGGUGGUCUAAGUGGUUAGAAUGUCUGCUUUGGAUGCGAGAAAUCGCGGGUUCGAACCACGGCCGAGUCU